UUAUGCAGUGUGUGUGUGUGUGUGUGUGUGUGUGUGUGUUGAAAAUGUUCGCAAGAUAUAUAAAUCUUUCAUUUAAAACCACAAAAUGGUGAGUAAUGUUGAGAAGGAAGAAGAAAGGAAGAUUAGGAGGAAGAAGAGGAGGAAUAGGAUUUAAAUGAAGGAAAAUAACAGGGACAAAGUUUUAAAUCAUAUUAUUCGCUAUUUCUUUCUUUAUUCAGUAUUUCCUUAUUCCUUUCUUUAUUUUCGUUUACUUCCUCCUCGUAUCCCUUUUCUGCCAGAGGAGGAAGGGGAAGAAAGGAGGAUGAGGGUGAGGAAGACGAGGAAGAGGAUUAAACUUCUUGCAUCUUUCUUACAGAAUCGUCAGGAUGUCAACAUUGUAUAAUGGUACAGUGUUGAGACAGGGACGGUCGCGUUAUAAUUCACUAAUUGAGGUUACUUUUGAUAAAUAAACAACUAGUACGGAGUCUUUUAAGUAUUUUACAUUAUCUUAUACCGGAAAAUAUUAAGGAAAAGUCGCGUAAAUAAGAAAAAAAAGGCAAAGAUUAGAGGGCCUAAUGAUGAUGAUUCCUGCUUUCAUCCUCAUCGGGGCUAACGAGACCAACCUGGGGCUGUACUCUGGACUGACGCUGUAUGCCAUAGCUGUUGAGUUUGCAUAGAUGGCCUUCUCAAGUAUGGAGGUCUUGCCACACUGUCGGGCCCCCGCCACCACCACACGACUGGUGCGCCCCAUCACAUUUCUCUGGGGACGGACCGGUAUGUCAACAAAGAGUGGCAAGCAAGACAAGAAUCUGGCAGAUAUUGUCAUGACCAAAACUCUUAAGUGUAUAAGUAUACUGGCAGAUGUCUUCAUGCAUAUUGUAGCUGCAAUGAUGUAAGCCUCGGGUGAUGUCUAAAAACUAUGUCUGCUGCUCCUCAUACUUCAGCCAAACAAGAUAUGCACAUGCUGCAGGAUAAAUGACCAUAAGUAACUCUGCAUCAACACAAGUACAUGGUGGAUGUGUCUGCUGGACUGUCAGUGACCAACAGCUGGCCUAGAGUGGAGGCUCAAGCAUCUCCACUUCUCCUCCACUGGAUAUCCUUCACAGUGAUCAUAGAGAACCAAAUCUUGUUCAUUACUGGAAUCAACACCAAUCACAAAGUUACUGUAGAUGUAGUGGUACCUCUACAUUGCAUUAGCAAUCACCAUGGAUUACUGCAAACAAUUAAAUGACAUCAAAUUAAA